AUUAUUUUUGUUCUUUUAGAUUUCAACAUUAAAUUUUGGUUGCAUUACUAUGAUUUUGAUGACAAUAUCAAAAGUCUAAACACACCUCCUAGUUUAAAAGACCUACAAGAAAUAUUAUUUAAAAACUGUAUUCCUAAUGUUUUAAAUGCAAAAUACGUUUUUCUAUUUUAGUCUGGCUAAGUUUUACUUUCUUCCCUGAGAGAAAGAAUAUGGAACAGCUGUAUGAUCUAUGCAAUAGUUGAUGCAAAACUACAUCGAAUCUCCAUGCUAUUUGCCAUAUCUUUGUCAACUGAUAUCAGUAAAAGCGCCAUGACUUGGUUUCUCAAACAUACAAGUGAGAUCACUCUCCUCAUGGGCAACCUUCAACAUGCUGGCAGACCAACAGAGUGCAGUGGAGGAAGUCCUAGAAGAAACUCUAUGAAGAAUUCCUGUGACAAGUAUGCUGAAGAUUUUGACCCAUGGACUGAGAACAAAAUGCAACUUCAGUUUUGUCUCCCUCUGGUUGUAAUUGUCUUGACCUGUAAUGAUUAAAUGUUUUUUACUUUGACUGGUGCCAUCCCAAAUGGACUGUCCUUGCUGGCCUUGAGGGAUGGUAAAAUUCAACUGGUUUUUUUCGUCCCCACUUUUGACCUCUGCAGAGGUUCUCUGAUAAUCCCACAACUUUAGGAAAAAAAAAGGAGAAUGAACCUCUAUUCUAAGUAAUGACUGAAUGCUGCAUCUUUAGCUGUUGGCACUCCACACUGCAUCUUCUUCCUUCUGCUGAUGCCCCUUGAGGUAGCCCUGUGACACAGGAUCCAAAGUCCUGUGUUGACUCUUUGACUUUACAUGGCCCACAUCUGACCCACAGCAAAUAAUGACAGUUUCUGUGCCAACUGUAGAUGUUUAUGCAAUCUCAAUGCAGCACUUUUUUGACACUACCAUCAAGGUAUGGGUGUGGUCUAUCAAGUGGUUCUCUUGAAGUCCUCUUCAUUAAGCUUAUGUUUAGAAGUUAGCAUGCCCCAAACUUUCCCCUAAAGUUUGGAGGCACAAAUCAAAUCAAGAGCUUUCUCCAAAGAAAUUUCCUUACCAAUCUCUUUUCCUUUCCACUGUCUCUGAUAUGUUUUUAUGCACUUACUCUGGCAGAGGUGCAAGAGCCAUGUUUUUGUGUCAUUUUCUUUGAAUGUCAGCACAUGGGGAUGGAGGUGUCUGGCACAUCCUCUGCUGUCUGAUACUUUUUGGUGGUACCUCAGUUGAAACUUGAGGCAGGCACAGUCCCAUGCUAACUUCCUAUUAACACUCACUGUAUAACUUUGCAGAAACAAUGUAAUUUUCUGGAUCUGUGUUUCCUCCUUCAUAAAACAAGAGGGUUAAAGCUCAAUCUCUAGGGUCCUUUGCAGCUCUCAAAUUUGGUGGUUUUUGCAGUUGCAUUUCCAUAGACAGUGUAACAAAAUAGAAAAGACAUUGAGAUAGUUGUCAUGAGAGUUGAUCCCAGCUAUAAUCCCACUGACAAAUUGAAUGACCUUAAGCAAGCAAGUCUCAAUUUUUCUAGAACUCAGUUUUCUCAUAUGUAAAGGGAUGAGGCGUCACCAGAUGACUUGUAAGGAUCUCUUCCAGAGCUAAACUCUAUUUCUUUAUCAUUUAUUAUUUCUGGAUACGUCCUAAGUUACAAAUAUUUAUUUUAUCACACACAAAACAAGAUCUGAAAUAGGAAAAAUAUUGCAAUUAAGCACAAAAUGUAGCUGAGAAACCUUGGAUCCAGCAAAAGCAUAAUAGAAAAUGCAAGAUUUAAUACACUUCAAUAUUUUGAAAGGCUUCAUGCUAUGAAAACCAGUGGGCAGUUUUAGUAUCUGAAAACUUGGUUGCUGAUUCAGUUUUAGCUUCUUCCUCA
ensembl:lincRNA